rnacentral:rRNA from 1 species
AAAGUCCCCUUCGGGGGAUAAGUAGAGUGGCGUCCGGGUGAGUAACACGUAGGUAAUCUACCUUCGGGUGGGGAAUAACCCAGGGAAACUUGGGCUAAUACCGCAUAAUGCAGCGGCACCACAUGGUGACAGUUGUUAAAGCGGGGGAUCUUCGGAUCUCGCGCCUGAAGAGGAGCCUGCGGCAGAUUAGCUAGUUGGUAAGGUAACGGCUUACCAAGGCGACGAUCUGUAGCCGGCCUGAGAGGGCGGUCGGCCACACUGACACUGACAUACGGGUCAGACUCCUACGGGAGGCAGCAGUCGGGAAUUUUGGGCAAUGGGCGAAAGCCUGACCCAGCAACGCCGCGUGAAGGAUGAAAUCCCUCGGGAUGUAAACUUCGCAAGAAUGGGAAGAAUUAGUAGGGGUUAAUACCCUCUAUGAUGACGGUACCAUUUGUAAGCUCCGGCUAACUCCGUGCCAGCAGCCGCGGUAAUACGGGGGGAGCAAGCGUUGUUCGGAUUUACUGGGCGUAAAGGGCGCGUAGGCGGUCAGCACAAGUCAGUUGUGAAAUCUCCGGGCUUAACUCGGAAAGGUCAACUGAUACUGUGCGACUAGAGUGCGGAAGGGGCAACUGGAAUUCUCGGUGUAGCGGUGAAAUGCGUAGAUAUCGAGAGGAACACCUGCGGCGAAGGCGGGUUGCUGGGCCGACACUGACGCUGAUGCGCGAAAGCCAGGGGAGCGAACGGGAUUAGAUACCCCGGUAGUCCUGGCCUUAAACGAUGGAUGCUUGGUGUCUGGAGUUUUAUAGUCUCCGGGUGCCGUAGCUAACGCGUUAAGCAUCCCGCCUGGGGAGUACGGUCGCAAGACUGAAACUC